UACGGGGGGGGCAAGCGUUGUUCGGAAUUACUGGGCGUAAAGGGCUCGUAGGUGGCCAACUAAGUCAGACGUGAAAUCCCUCGGCUUAACCGGGGAACUGCGUCUGAUACUGGAUGGCUUGAGUUCGGGAGAGGGAUGCGGAAUUCCAGGUGUAGCGGUGAAAUGCGUAGAUAUCUGGAGGAACACCGGUGGCGAAGGCGGCAUCCUGGACCGGCAUUGACGCUGAGGCGCGAAAGCCAGGGGAGCAAACCUC
rnacentral:rRNA from 1 species